CACGUAAGGGGCGAGCGUUGUUCGGAAUUAUUGGGCGUAAAGGGUACGUAGGCGGUUUGGUAAGCCCGGCGUGAAAUCCUGCAGCUUAACUGUAGAGCUGCGCUGGGAACUGCGAAACUUGAGUCAUGGAAGGGGAGUUAGAAUUCCAGGUGUAGGGGUGAAAUCUGUAGAUAUCUGGAAGAAUACCGGUGGCGAAGGCGAACUCCUGGCCAAUGACUGACGCUGAGGUACGAAAGUGCGGGGAGCAAAC
rnacentral:rRNA from 1 species